UAGGGAUGGCAAACUGGGUACUGGACCGCGGGCCCGGCCCGUUAGGGGUUGGUGUGGGGCGGGUUUGGGCCUAAGUAUUCAAUACCCGCAAAAAAGCGGGCCUUACGGGAUGGGCCUUGUGUGGUGCCGGGUUGAAAGCGGGAAAGCCCACCUUAUCCGCGGGAUCCCACCUGUACCGCAUCUAGAAUCCUCGUCUUCUUCACCUGAAACAAAAAGAAAGCAAUGAAACCUCGUUUUCUUCACCGAAGCAUCUCUUUGUCUUCGCGGAACCACCGGAGCUUCUCUUCUUCCUCGAGCCACCACCGGAGCUUCAUCGAUCUACCACCGCAUGCCGUAGCUUCUCUUCUUCGUUGAGCCACCACCGGAGCUUCUCUUCUUCACCGAGCCACCACCGAAGCUUCUCUUCUUCCCCGAGCCACCACCGGAGCUUCUCUUCUUCCUCGAGCCACCACCUUCUCCCGUCACCGACCAGAAGGUAUAUAUUUUCUUCCUCGAGCCACCACCGUAGCUUCUAGACUUUAUAUAUUUUGAUUACAAUUUCUGCAUGUGUACUUCGUAAAUGAUAAAAUAGAAUGGGGCAUUGAAACAUGAUUUUAAUCUGAUAUUAAGUCAUUGUUUUUUAUUCUUUGAAAAGACGAUUAGGAAAUAGAAUGGUGCGUUGAAACUGCUUUGUUAAUACACGUCUCGUGAUUGUGUGUUACUGUCUUCUCUUGAGUAUGUCUCUGAUAUGUAGGAACUAGUAAAACUAGUAAGCAUUAGUAGCAACUGUUUGUAUUGAACUGUGCAAGUGUAUUACUGAUAUGUCUUUUGACAUAGUCUCUGAUAUGUCUUUUUUUUUUCUGGUGUUCUGUAUAUGAAUAUGUUUUGUCUCGAGCUGAUGGUGAACAAGGAGGAAAAGAAGAUACAAAACAGAGCUGAAAUCGUUGUGAUGGAGCUAUGGUGAACAUGGAGACGCCUGGUUCAUCUUCUACUCCUCUUUCAUCCUCUACUCCUCUUAGCAGCUUCAGCCUUCAGGACCUCAGGAAGAAGCAGACAGACUGUCUGAGACAGUGUAUUAUUUAUUAUCCCGCGGGACGGCCCGCAAAGGCUUGCUAAGAAUGCGGUACGGGAUUGGGCAGCUAUGUUGAGGACCGCAUCCCGCGCGGGACAGGCCCGCCGUGUACCGCCAGAAGACGAACCCGCAGCGGGACGGGACGGUACGGGACGGGAGAGCCCAAUUGCCAUCUCUAACU